rnacentral:rRNA from 1 species
GAUGAACGCUGGCGGCGUGCCUAAUACAUGCAAGUCGAGCGAACAGAUGAGGAGCUUGCUCCUCUGACGUUAGCGGCGGACGGGUGAGUAACACGUGGAUAACCUACCUAUAAGACUGGGAUAACUUCGGGAAACCGGAGCUAAUACCGGAUAAUAUAUUGAACCGCAUGGUUCAAUAGUGAAAGACGGUUUUCUGUCACUUAUAGAUGGAUCCGCGCCGCAUUAGCUAGUUGGUAAGGUAACGGCUUACCAAGGCAACGAUGCGUAGCCGACCUGAGAGGGUGAUCGGCCACACUGGAACUGAGACACGGUCCAGACUCCUACGGGAGGCAGCAGUAGGGAAUCUUCCGCAAUGGGCGAAAGCCUGACGGAGCAACGCCGCGUGAGUGAUGAAGGUCUUCGGAUCGUAAAACUCUGUUAUUAGGGAAGAACAAAUGUGUAAGUAACUAUGCACGUCUUGACGGUACCUAAUCAGAAAGCCACGGCUAACUACGUG